CCAAUAGCGUAUAUUAAAGUUGUUGCAGUUAAAAAGCUCGUAGUUGAAUUUCGGGGUUAGUAGGUUGGUCAUGCCUCUGGUAUGUACUGGUCUCACUGAUUCCUCCUUCCUGAUGAGCCGUAAUGCCAUUAAUUUGGUGUUGCGGGGAAUUUGGACUGUCACUUUGAAAAAAUUAGAGUGUUUAAAGCAAGCUAACGCUUGAAUACAUUAGCAUGGAAUAAUGAAAUAGGACGUUCGAUCCUAUUUUGUUGGUUUCUAGGAUUGACGUAAUGAUUAAUAGGGAUAGUUGGGGGCAUUAGUAUUCAAUUGUCAGAGGUGAAAUUCUUGGAUUUAUUGAAGACUAACUACUGCGAAAGCAUUUGCCAAGGAUGUUUUCAUUAAUCAAGAACGAAAGUUAGGGGAUCGAAGACGAUCAGAUACCGUCGUAGUCUUAACCAUAAACUAUGCCGACUAGGGAUCGGAUGAUGUUAAUUUUUUAAUGACUCAUUCGACGCCUUACG
rnacentral:rRNA from 1 species